GUACCAAUAAUAAAUAAGGUGUUCUGUUCUGUGGCUUUAUAUACAUACAUAAAGAGUAUAAGACUACUUCAUGUGUGAUUUGAUCUCGUUACACUCGGUUAUAAGACUCGUUCUUUCUUAUUAUAUUUUAUUUUUGGAAAAAGAGGAAAUAUAAUAAUAUUAAAUUAAAAAGAGUACGAAGGUACGCGGAUAUGUACGUACGGACACCACUCCCAAUUCGUUAAUUAAAGUCUAAGCACCACAAUACUUAAUGCGAAACCCUCCCAUCCUCUUUCCUAACACUAACAGCCAACCCUAAUCCAGUCCGAUUGACUCUCUCUCCCAGACGCAACCAUUCUCAAGCUCCGGUGGACGAAUCAGGCAAACACUGCUUUGCUCCGGAGGUAAAAUGUGACCAAAGACCAAGAGAAAGAAAACCCUAAGCCGCCUCUGUGCACGUCUGCACAAUACGGAACCCUAAGCCGUCGCCGCUCCAGUUGUCUUCUCGGGCCAAUCCUCGUCUCCGGUUCUCUAUCCUUGCCCGUUCUCGAUGUUUCCAGGAGGGUUAUUGCUCCCUCGUUCUCAGCCGUGGACGGACCUCUGUCAAGUCCGAUGAUGGCGUCGCUCCCUUAGCCACGGACGGAUCUCCAUUCCCCACGGAGCCUCCCUCGGCCAAGCCCUGUUUGGGUCCAAACGGGUGCUGGGAUCUCUUGCUGGGAUGCGGGAUUGGGAGGGUUUCUGCAGAAAAAAGAAGAAGAAAGAAGAAAUAAGAAAGAAGAAGAAGAAGAAGAAGAAGAAGAAGAAGAAAAAGAAAGAAAAAAAAAGUAAAAAAAAAUUAAUUUUUUAAUUUUUUUAAAUUAAAAAAAGUAAAUAAAAAAAUUAAAAAAUUCUAAUUUUUUUAAUUUUUUUAAAUAUUUAUAAUUAUUUUUUAAAACUAAUAUUAUGUGGACCACUAAAAACUCGCCACGUGUACAAGUGUGUACACGUGGACAGUCAAACGUGGCACUUAACUGAGAUUUUUGGACGGAGGUAUACAGAGCAAAACGGAACCAGAGUUUAGGAAGGUUAGCCGCCAAAAAUUUAGUUUUUGUGGUUAAGUGUUACAAACUGUAAAGUUCGGGUGGUUUAGCCGCCAAUAUCCUUUUUUUUUUUAAAUGGUGGUGCAAAUAUUACAGUUAUUUAAGAUAUCUUAUAAAAUUUUAAGAAAUUUAAAAUAAUAUUUUAAUUUUUUAAAAUUUUGUAAGAUAUUUUAAAUUACUAUAGCGUAAAAAAUUUAGAUUAAAAUAUUUUUCUAAUUGUCAAAAUAAAUUAAAAAUGCAUUUGUAUAUACAUUUUAGAGUAGUGGACCAUACAAUUUUCCAUUAUUAUAAUAGAGAGUUAUUUUUAUAAUCUUACUUCAAUUAUGCUUUUUAAAAUUAAUUAUUAUACUCUUUCGAAAAAAAAUUGAUUAUUAUAACAAUUUUACAAGAAGACUUAUUAUCUAUUUUAAUUAAGAAGUGUCUUUAGGUAAUAUGGGUGGAGAUGCUAUAUAUUAGAUUAUCAUUACUCAAUUAUACCAAUCGAUGUAAUUUAGGUCAUUGCUACCGCUUUAUGCUCUGUUAGGGUUACCGUAAUCCUUAUUGUCGUUGUUGCUCAUUCUCUUCAUUCCAACCAGGGCUCAUUAGUCAUCCAUGGCCUUGGGCGUGGCCCUAGUCAGGGCCUAAUUUAUUUUCCCACCAUAUCUGACUUAUGCACCUUGCUUCUUCCUCUUAAUAGAUUCUUAUUUUCUUUUCUAUGGCAGUUUCUUCUUUGGGUGUAGGUGUCGGUUAUGUCGGUGCUUUGCUCUGCCGGAGGCUACACUUUUUCUUCGACUGGAUUCAAUCUUUCAUAAUAGAUCUGGUAGUGGUUGGUUGGUGUUAUACCUAUUUUUUGGAUUGUUUAAUGAAAUGUCAAAUUAAAUGCCACGUGGCAUAGAUAAUAAAUUCUUGCAAUAAAUACAUUGUGGGACAGGUUGAAAAAACUCAGAACUCAACCUAUGAGGUGACCUCAUCUAAAUAUAAGGAUCACAAGUUUGUGAAGUGAGGUAUUUCAGCAUUUUUGGGAUGUUAUUUUGGUAAAAAAAAUUCAAAAUCUCUCGUAAUACAUACUUAGUGAUGCAUCUCCUCGUAUUAUACAACAGUGAUGAAUCACUUCGUAAUAAAUAGUUAAUGAUGAAUCACCUCAUAUUACACAGCAGUGAUAAAUCACCUCGUAAUACAAAGCAGUGAUGAAUCACCUCGUAAUACACAACCAAUGAUGAACCACCUCAUAAUACACAUUUAGUGAUGCAUUAUCUCGUAAUACACAAUUAUUAAUGUUUUGCCUCGUAAUACAUAAAGUUAUGUUCUUGUUUAUGUCGAAAAUAAGAACAUGUGCCCCAUGUUCAUAGCGGACAUGCGUUGGGAUUUAUGCCCUAAAAGUAAGUAUUUAAUGGAUAAUAUAUUAAAGAAUAUAUAAAAUAAAAUAAUAAGAUAAAUGAGUACAUUAAUUGUAGCAUCUCGCGUAGAUACACAUAGUAAGUUCUAACAUUACAGAAGAAUACAAGGAGUAUCUUAGAUGUAAUACCUCGGCAAAGAAACUGCCUUGAAGAUAGACGCGAAAAGCGAUUACCAGUAUAUGUUGCGAGGCAUAGAAACUUAGUCAGCAUAACUAUUUUAGAUAAAGACAAUAACAGUUAUAGAAGCUAUUUAUCUAUCCCAUGUGCUGUAAAUAUGAAAUGUGAGCAUUGUCAUGUUUCAUAAAUGUCUUUCCCAAAAUGUGACUUCCACUAGCGGUGGUUGUAGUAUAGAUCGGGCGGUCGAUUCCACAGGGAGGUGAUUAUGGACAAAAGCGUUAGUAGAAAAAUAAAAAUAAAAAGUUAAUAAUAAGUGAUAAUAGUAACCAAUGAUUUUGUGAUUUUUAAUUUGAUAAUAAAUAUUAAAAGAAAGCAAAUAAAUGUAUAAUCAAUAGUAAAAGAGAGAAAGGCUUCAAGAAUCAUCCAUAUGCUUGUUUAGCUAUUUUGUACCUUUGAUUCACAAAGUUGACACAAUUCAUACAACAUUAAAGUUCAUUAUAUUUUGAGUAUACAAGUUCUUGAAAAUAAAAGAAAUGAUUUAAUCUUAUAUAGAACCUAGAAAUGACAUUAUACAUCAAGCAAUAAUGCAAUAAAAGAUUAAACCUAAAACUAAACAUAAAUAUUAUUUUUACUAAAUGGAAACACAUAGAAAGAGCAUGACUAAUCCUAUAAUCUUUAGUAAAAAUAAUGACAAAGAAAAUAGAAAUAGAGAUGGUGGUGAUAGUGAAGGAAAUGAACAUUAAUAUUACUUUUCUUAAUUUUUAAGCACAUAGGAAGAACAUGACUAAACCUAUAUGUUUAAUAAAAAGUAAAUGAAAAUGAACAUAAAAGAUAGAACAAGAUAAAUACUACUAUUACUACAAUCACUAAAUAAAAAUAUAUAGAGAGAGCAUGACUAGGUCUAUAUAUAUAUUUAGUAUAUAAUAGCAUAUAUAGUAGUAUAGAUGGAUGAAGAACAAGAAAAUAAAAGUGAAAUAAAAACUUACAUUACUCAAAUAAAUAUUACAUGUGAAUCAAAGAUACAAAAUAACCUCACUUUGCAUAUGGAAUCAUCCCUAACCUUCCAAGGAAGAUUAGGCUAUUAUGCUAAUCAUUCUCAUAAAAUUUCUAAAGAGAAAAUAUGAGAGAAUUUUGCUAUAGUUUUUCUACACUAAAAAUUACAC